UCCCUAUUAGAAAUAGGGACAUUGAUCCCUGUCCUUCCUGGGGACACUGAUCCCUGCCCUAACUGGGGCAUGUGGGACAUGAUCCCUACCCUGCCUUGGGACGCAGUGACACGGAUCCUUUCCCUGCCUUGGGACAUGGGAGCACUGAUCCUUGCCUUGCCCGGGGACAUGGGGACAUGGAUCCCUGACUUGUGGAAAUGGGAAUAUUGAUCCCUGCCCUGCCUGGGGCCAUGGGAGCACUCAUCCCUACCCUGCCUCACGGCAACAGGGAGGGGAUAUUGAUCCCUGUCCUUCCUGGGGCCAUGGGAGCACUGAUCCCUGCCCUGCCUAAGGGUUUGGGGACAUGGAUCCCUGCCCUGCCUGGGGCUGUGGAGAGAUGCUUAUCCCUUCCCUGCCAGGGGACACGGGGACUCUGCUCUGUGCUGUGCCCAGGGGCAGCCCAGCAGCAGCUCCCGUUGCUCUUGGCUCGCUGUGCACAGGCAGGUGCAGGGGCAGGGCCCCAACCCCCUGCAGAGCCCACCAGCAGCAGCCCCCUCGUAAUUGUGGGUCUGCCUGCACUUAAUCACAGCCUUCGGAGCAGGCAGAGGGAGCAGCAGCUGGGAAGUACCAUGGAAACCACCCCAGAGCUGCACCCCAGGCUGGGCAGGGGGCUCCUGGUACCCACCAGCUGCCUCCUGCCUCCCUUCCCACUGCACCAUCCUGCCUUUCCAGUGCGGUGUCCCUGCUUCUCUCCACUCUCCCGUGUUCCCUCUCUUCCCCUGCCCACCCCCUGCUCCAGUCACUGCUUCCUGCUUGGGAACACACAGGAUUUUUUCAGGUGUCAAGAGGUAUUUCAGCUCUGGGAGGGAUGAAAUGUGAGGCACUGGGGUUUGAUGAGCUGAGGGUGAGACUUGGCGUAGAAAUUUGGGGACUGGCAAUGCCUACCACGUGCCACCCCUGAUGUCCUGACGUGCUGCCCUCCUGUGCCAACUGCACAUGUCCCAAGCCUGUGCCAAAUCCUCACCCUUCACCUGGAUGUGGGAAGCUGCCCCUCGGCCACCAGCUUUGUGCUGCCAGGUUUGUUCCACGACAGGGGCUGUGUCUGUGACUUCAGGACUUGCAUCCAGGGAGGAUUCCCCAGGGCACCAGGUGCCUGUGGUGCCAGCCUGGGUACUGGGUGACCACUGACCCCUGCAGACUCACCUCUGUGCUGUGGGACAUGAUGUACCUGGGAUGGUCUCUCUGGGAAGCUCUCACAGUGCAAUGGGAGGAUAUCCCGUCCUGCUGACUCCAUCAGGACCCUCUACCAGGACAAGGAGAAGUCCUGGAGCUCUCCAGAUCCAGGCAGGAGCUGCCAGAGGAAUGUGCUUCAGGCAGGGCACUGCUGCCUCCCAGGGCUGCCCCCCAGCAGGACAGCUCUGCUGUGGAAUAGAAAAGCUCUGCAUGGAAGCUGAUAGAAGCCAGAGGAGCCCAAGUCAUUUAAGGUUGAAGAGAAAUGUUAAAGACAGCAGGAAAAGCAAACAUUAGUGGUAGCCAUGAGGCUAAGGGGAAUAGGAAGGGCUUUUACAAAUAUAUCAAGGGGAAAAGGAAAUACUGGAGAGUCAAGACAAAGUGGGCCCAUUAAUAAAUGAGGAAGGAUAUUAAAUUAAU